AAAAAAAUCAAAGAAAAUGCUAAUUUUAGAAAUUCAGCAGACGACAUUUAAGCAGACGACAAAUUUCCCAGCAUGCAAAGGGUUAAAUUGACUUUGCUGAGUAUUAAGUUCUAAAGGUUUACCUGAAACAUUAGUGAGCUUUUCUGGUUAGUAAUUGUCUUUCUUUGCUGUUAUCCCAUAUGGUUUCUUAAAAAACUUGUUCACAUAUUUUUUGUUUAUGAAAAAUGUCAUUAAAUGAUAUGACUAGAGAAGUGAUAAAAAUUGGGAAGUUUAUAAUAAUGAUCAAAGCAAGAUAAAAAAAAAGAAGUUUGCCUUUAAGGAAUUGAACACUGGACCUGCAAGAGCAAGAGCCUAAUUUCUACCCCACUAAACCACUCAGGCUUUUUAUCCUACAGCAUAUUUUUAAUGCAUUGUAAAAUAUACAAUUAUUUUCGAAAUUAUUGACAAAAGACAUUAAAAAUGCUUUAUAAUUUUACCAACUGUAUUGAUGAUUAUCUAUAAGUGUAUUUUUUAUGUGUUUAUAUCUGUAAUUUUGCUUAUAACAUGACCUACACUUCAGUAGUGAAAUAACAUAAUGCUCAAUUUUGUUUAUUACACAGUGUUAUUACACUAGUUAUGUAACUGUGAAAUGAUGUCAUUAUUCCAGCGAAUUUCUUCAGUUAAACUCUUUUACAAUGUGAAUAAACGGUGAAAACAGCAUAAAAUAAAAAGAAAAUUUGUUGGUCAUGUUAUAAAUAGAAUCUUAGAUUCGUGGUCAUUUUGGCAAGCCUCGUUUUUAUCUUUAUUUAGAAAACUUGUUUAAUAAAUUCAAUACAAAACGACCACUCAUGCAAAAUCCUAUAUUUAUUUAACGCUUAUGUUUAAUAUUAAUUUUUGUAUCAAUAUUUAUUUUUUCAAACUUUGAACAAGCCCCUUUAAACUCUGGUGAGCUACCUUGGGCCAUCUUUUCCUUCAUGUUAUAUGGUUGCUAAUUUAUUUGCUUAUAUACUUAUCAUAAGAUAUCAAAAUUAUUUUUAGAAAUUUCAAUUUUAACGUUGUUUCUUCUUAUAUUACCGCAUUUGAUAAUUAAGCAAAUCCUAUUUUAAAUGUGAGGCCUCAUGGUGUCUGUUGAUCAGAAUCGGAUCGUUAUUUUGUUUUUGACGUUUCUGAAAAUAGUUAACUGUAUCAUGUCUAGAAAAAAAACAUUCCCAAUUUAUGUUUUAUAUCUUUUUUUCACCAUAUUUUUGCAGUGUAUUUUUUAUUGGAUGUAGUUCCAAGUAUUAAAAUUACAUUCCACCAUAAUGUGAUGUUAUUAUGAGACUCAAGUGAAUAGUUGCUACCGUAAUUUAGUUUGUUUUCAAUACUUGCAUGUUUCCUCUGUUACUCUAUAAAGGUUCAAUCACGUGUUUUUAGUGAUCACACCGAAUCAAUAGGAUGAACAUGGAUGCGGGAUCAUUUGACAGUAUGUUGUUGGAUAAAAAAUAAAAUAAUGAUGAUCAUCAUUAUUGGAGUCUUGUUCUGAGACAACUGGGCUCAAUGCAUGUGCGUAAAGUGUCAUCCCAGAUUAGCCUUUGCAGUUUUCACAGGCUAAUCAGGGACGACACUUUCCGCCUUAGCUUGAUUUUUAGGUAAAGAGGGACUUCCUUGAAACUAAAAAUACCAUAAAAGCGGAAAGUAUCUUCGCUGAUAAGCCUGUGCGGACUGCACAGGCUAAUCUGGGACGACACUUUACGCACAUGCAUUGAGCCCAGUUUUCUCAGAACCCGACUCAUUUAAACCAGUUGUUGGCAUGUGCUUUAUUUUUUUUCUUGCCAUGUUUCUGCCUACUGACAUUUUUGUUGUUUUUGUGUGUGUUUUGUUUUAAGAAGUGUUAAGAAUUCCUGCUUAAUGUUUUUAAAAUUGGUAUGUUUUUCAACAUGGUCCUCAAAUAUAAAUUCUGUUUAUGGUUUGUUUUUGUUAAUUUGCGUCUUUAGGUUCUGACUGAUUUGUUGUUUUUUUUAAUGAAUCUGUUUAUUAUGAAAAUAAUCUGAAUUUCAUCUAUUUUUAAACAAUAACCUGAGAUUCUAUAAGUGGCUUCCAUCGUUCUGUGCAUUAUAAAUAUUACAACAAAGAGUGACAAGUCCCUGUUCAACGUUCAAUAAUGUUUUCUUUUAAUUAUGCCCCCCUUCGAAGAAGAGGGGGUAUAUUGUUAUGCACAUGUCAGUCCGUCCGUCGGUCCGUCCACCAGAUGGUUUCCGGAUGAUAACUCAAGAACGCUUAGGCCUAGGAUCAUGAAACUUCAUAGGUACAUUGAUCAUGACUGGCAGAUGACCCCUAUAGACUAUCAGGUCACUAGGUCAAUGUCACAGUCACUCGAAAUAGUAAAAUGGUUUCCGGUUGAUUACUCAAGAAUGCUUAGGCCUAGGAUCUUGAAACUCCAUAGGUACAUUGAUCAUGACUUGCAGAUGGCCCCUAUUUAUUUUCAGGUCACUAGGUCAAAGGUCAAGGUCACGGUGACUCGAAAUAAUAAAAUGGUUUCCGGAUGAUAACUCAAGAAUGCUUACGCCUAGGAUCAUGAAACUUCAUAGGUACAUUGAUCAUGACUGGCAGAUGACCCCUAUUGAUUUUCAGGUCACUUGGUCAAAGGUCAAGGUCACAGUGACAAAAAACGUAUUCACACAAUGGCUGCCACUACUGACAGCCCAUAUGGGGGGCAUUCAUGUUUUACAAACAGCCCUUGUUUAUUUAAAGUGUGUAUGCCAUUAUGAAUAUGUAUGUAAAGAAUAAGUAAUUUGUGCUUCAUUUAUUGGCAAUCAAAAAUAAUGUAACAUUCUCUGCUUAAAUAUUUACAACAUAUAGUACACAAAAUAUUAAUCUUAAAUGUAUUUCCAUAUUCAUAUUCUUUAAAGAUGUAUAAAAUGUUAUCAAAAUAAAUGUUUGUCUCCCCUUAGUCAUAAUAAUUACCAUAUAGAUUGUGUUAUGUUGCAUAAUAAUGCAUUGCCUUUAACUUUGUUUUAAUAUUGGAAACUUUCCUCUCUGCACAGUCUUUGAAUUAUGUUUACUGCAGUGUACUGGCAAAAAUGUGAACAAAAUGAUUUUCUUGAAAAUUGAACAACAUUGUAUUUCAUCUGUAGUUUUUUUUUGUAUUUAUUUAAACCAAUAUAUUUUAACACGUGUUAUUGCUUCUUUAUUCUGGCAUAGCAUGUUCAUGUUUGUAAAAUCAUACAAAAUGUUUGAUAACGAAAGUCAAAUUUUUGUAUAGAUUCCUAUGAUCCAAUUCAAUUUUGUAUAUAUUACUAUGUAUCCAAUUCAACUCUGUAAUACUGUGUAAAUACAAAAUAGUACCUAUACAAACACACGUGGCAUAUUAAUUAAAAUAGUGCCUGUUAAACAACUAGAAAGCACUUUGAAUCGAGUUUGACUGACAAGGUGUUAAAUAAUUUCUCUUUGAAAGAGUUAAUGAAUAAUACUUAAAUUUAAAGUCGAGGUCAAAGGAAACAUAUGUUUUACCUUUACAAAUUGUCAGAAUAUUGGAUGCGUACAGAUAAACUUGUGUGAUUAUGUAACAAUAAUGUUGCAAACAUAUUCAUGUUCAUUUUGGUACAUACAUUUUACUUAAAUCUUCAAGUGCAUUUUGUAGCAUACAUGUAUAUGACAUACAUAAUCAAGUGCACUUUGUAACAUAAAUGUUACAUACAUAUUCAUCUGCAUUUGUAAAAUAUUUGUUUCACAUAUUCAUGUGCAUUUUGUAGAAUUUACUUUCCACGCCAUUUUGUUUCUUAUUCUUAAUGGGAUAUGAUUAGAAUGUACCCGAAGAUUACUGUUUUAACUUGAUCUACAAAAUAAUUUGAAUCACAAAAUAAUAUGUCUUCAGAGGGAACUGUAUUUGAGUACAGUAUGUAAAGACUUAAGGACUAAGGAGCUGUCUUUUUAAAGAUAAGUUACAACUGUUAGUAGUUUAAGUUAUAUACAUGUGUGGUCACAAUGUGCCAAGAAUAUUACUUAAAUUAAGUAAUCGUAUAUGAAAAUAUAGACUUUUAAGUAUAUAAGCCUGUACAUUGAAUUAGACAAGUUUUUGGGGAUCAUUUAAUGUUGCUAGUGAACAAAUUUAAAGUUUUCUGCAACUGGUUGAAUGUCAUAUUGCUAAAUGUUUAAGUGUUCUUGUUAUUGCCAUUGAAAUCAAAUAGAAAACAGAAACAAGAACGGAAGACCGGUACAGCUACAAUCCAUUUUUCAUAAUGCUCUUUUUGUCAUCGAUUAUGGUGGUAGAAAUCUUAACAUUAAGUAUUUUUAAAUAAUACUCUGUACCACACUAUCUGUUAAAGCUAACAAAAAAUAAAAUGCUUAUAAUUAAACAAUGCGCAGUAACCUAUUAUUGUAUUUAUAUGUAAUUGUAUGUUUAUUUCGUAAAGAUUCCUUUGAAAUAAUCUUCAUGAAUAAUAAAUCAUGAGCUAUAUUGU